rnacentral:misc_RNA from 1 species
UAUCCGUUGGUGAACCAGCGGAGGGAUCAUUACCGAGUUUACAACUCCCAAACCCAAUGUGAACCAUACCAAACUGUUGCCUCGGCGGGGUCACGCCCCGGGUGCGUCGCAGCCCCGGAACCAGGCGCCCGCCGGAGGGACCAACCAAACUCUUUCUGUAGUCCCCUCGCGGACGUUAUUUUUGCAGCUCUGAGCAAAAAUUCAAAAUGAAUCAAAACUUUCAACAACGGAUCUCUUGGUUCUG